rnacentral:rRNA from 1 species
CCUACGGGUGGCAGCAGUGAGGAAUAUUGGUCAAUGGACGAGAGUCUGAACCAGCCAAGUAGCGUGAAGGAUGACUGCCCUAUGGGUUGUAAACUUCUUUUAUAUGGGACUAAAAUGUUCCACGUGUGGGAUUUUGUAUGUACCAUAUGAAUAAGGAUCGGCUAACUCCGUGCCAGCAGCCGCGGUAAUACGGAGGAUCCGAGCGUUAUCCGGAUUUAUUGGGUUUAAAGGGAGCGUAGGUGGAUUGUUAAGUCAGUUGUGAAAGUUUGCGGCUCAACCGUAAAAUUGCAGUUGAAACUGGCAGUCUUGAGUACAGUAGAGGUGGGCGGAAGUCGUGGUGUAGCGGUGAAAUGCUUAGAUAUCACGAAGAACUCCGAUUGCGAAGGCAGUUCACUGGACUGCAACUGACACUGAGGCUCGAAAGUGUGGGUAUCAAACAGGAUUAGAUACCCUUGUAGUC